rnacentral:rRNA from 1 species
ACGAACGCUGGCGGCAUGCCUAACACAUGCAAGUCGAACGAAGGCUUCGGCCUUAGUGGCGCACGGGUGCGUAACGCGUGGGAAUCUGCCCUUGGGUUCGGAAUAACAGCGGGAAACUGCUGCUAAUACCGGAUGAUGACGUAAGUCCAAAGAUUUAUCGCCCAAGGAUGAGCCCGCGUAGGAUUAGCUAGUUGGUGGGGUAAAGGCCCACCAAGGCGACGAUCCUUAGCUGGUCUGAGAGGAUGAUCAGCCACACUGGGACUGAGACACGGCCCAGACUCCUACGGGAGGCAGCAGUGGGGAAUAUUGGACAAUGGGCGAAAGCCUGAUCCAGCAAUGCCGCGUGAGUGAUGAAGGCCUUAGGGUUGUAAAGCUCUUUUACCCGGGAUGAUAAUGACAGUACCGGGAGAAUAAGCUCCGGCUAACUCCGUG